rnacentral:tRNA from 1 species
GCCUGGGUAGCUCAGUUGUUAAAGCAUUCGACUUUGGCUCAGAUCAUGAUCUCUUGGUUUGCGGGUUCAAGCCCUGCGUCGGGCU